CAGAUUAUAGUUUAACUAAAAUUCUAGCUUUGGGAGCUAAUAAUCGGCUUCUGCCGUGAUCUGA
rnacentral:tRNA from 1 species